AAAGAGUGCGUAACAGCUCACUGGUCGAGUGGUUCUGCGCCGACAAUUCAACGGGACUUAAGCCUGGCACCGAAGCUGCGGAUGCAGCCGCUUCUGGCGGCUGCGUGGUAGGGGAGCGUCGUGCGUGCAGCGAAGCGGUCGCGGAAGCGCCCGUGGAGCGCGCACGAGUGCGAAUGUCGGGAUGAGUAACGACCAAGAGGGGUGCGAACCCCCUCCACCGAAAGCCUGAGGGUUCCGCCGCACGGGUGAUCCGCGGCGGGUUAGUCGGGCCUAAGGAUAAGGCGAGUGCCGAAGCCGAUGGACAUCCGGUAGAUAUUCCGGAACCAGUUUUCUUCGUUUGACUGAUGCGGCACCCAGGAGGAUAGGUCCGGCGGCGAGACGAGCGCCGUUCAAGCCGGUAGGGAGCUUUGGGAGGGAAAUCCCCUGAGGCGAUGACCGAGAGGCGAGCACGAGGCCAGUGAGCAAUCACCGGCCGAGCGGAUUGAGUCCACGCUGGCGCGAAACACCGCUAGGGAGAAGUGAAACUGCCCGUACCGCAAACCGACACAG
rnacentral:rRNA from 1 species